ACACCUGGCAUUACUUCUUGCAAUUACUUCAUGUUUGUGCUCACAGGAGCAAGCUAGAUUGGGAACACCCAAUGCUCAUACACAGCUGGGGAAAAGCCAGAGUACUACAAAUCCUCCUUCAGAGGUGGAUGCCAUAAAAGGAAUUGGAUUAAUCCUAAAACAGAAAUAAAAAGUUUUUCAUCGGGAAUGCUAACAUUGCACUUCCUCUCUGCAAUGACUUUCCAUGCUUAUUUUUAGGACAUGACCAGUGACAGCCCGGGCUCGCUUCUUUUCCUUCGAGAUGAUGAAUUUUAAAGCAGCGUCUUCACCGUGUCCUGCACAGCCCCUUCCAAAGGGUGAGGGAACCUUCCCUGCACGCAGUGAGGAUGAGAAGUGAUGGGGAAGAAAAUCUAAAUGCAGUCAAGGGGAGGAGAAGGGUGGUGAGAAAAUGAAU